rnacentral:rRNA from 1 species
UACGUAGGGCGCAAGCGUUAUCCGGAAUUAUUGGGCGUAAAGAGCUCGUAGGCGGUUUGUCGCGUCUGCCGUGAAAAGUCCGGGGCUCAACUCCGGAUCUGCGGUGGGUACGGGCAGACUAGAGUGAUGUAGGGGAGACUGGAAUUCCUGGUGUAGCGGUGAAAUGCGCAGAUAUCAGGAGGAACACCGAUGGCGAAGGCAGGUCUCUGGGCAUUACCUGACGCUGAGGAGCGAAAGUGUGGGGAGCGAACAGG